GGCACAGUGAGAGGGAGGUUUUCCAGGCUUCCUGUGCUGUCUUGGGGACCUGCUCAGAGGCUGGACCGCGUCAUGCUCAGAAGGCUGCCUGGAAUUUGAAUGUGGUAUCUGGAGCUUCAGUAGUCAUCCAGGACUGUAAGUGUGAAAGCCAUGCACUGAGAGUGGUGGAACAGAAGCCCUGUUUUCUUUAGACGCUGACUCCUGCUGUCUACCAGAUCCUCGUGGUACAAUGACUGGUGUAGACUGGCUUGUUGAAGUCACUCUCUGGAUCUGAGCAACGCUGGCUGAGCCGUGAUGAAGUAUUCCUAUCCAUCCACUAUGCUUCACAGUGGGAAUCUCUCACUGUUCAUCACCGCUGCCCUAGCAGCCGCAGCUGGAAUGAGAGACUGGAUGGCGUUGAAAUGAAAUGCUGGAGCCAUCCAUCCAUGUGCUUCCAGGGUGGCUUCCUGGCUGUGAGAACACAGUGACCCUGUGAGGCCAACAUGGACUCGGUUCUCCUGACAUAACAUGGCUGGAGGAGCUCCAGCUCUGGGAUGUUAUCUUGCUGUUUUACACUGGUGGUUCAGCCAGCCCAUGGGAAACUGAACUUGGGCUGGGAGACCUGGCAGCAAAUCCAAACUGAAAUAAGAAUCAGCACUUCGAGUUCAACUGUGAAACAAAUGUGGGCCCAAGGCCUAAAUGCCCGAAAGACAUAGGGAAGGGUUGAAGUGGAAUAAAGAAAGCUUUUGGUGACACUAUGGGAAGGGCUAUUGAGUAUCUUCUCAGGACAGUACAAAAUGUCAGAGGCACAGCAUAUUUCGAAACCUAUUUUUAAAGCUGCUUUAGAUUUUUUAACUUGAUGGAUAGAUAUAUUCAUUUUUUAAAAAAAGAAAUGGUGACCCUCUUAAGAGGCAAAGUACGAGCCUCAAGUGUUGUGGGAUGUAUCCAUCAUUGGUUACUAAGUUUUCCAAUGGCUCAGACACUCCCAGAAGCGAAGACUCCUGAGCCAAAGGAAGAUGAGAGCUGAAAGGAGCAUCGAGCUCAUCCAGUGCAAUGCUUCUCAGCUUGUGCCCACUUUGGAUUCACUUGGAAAUAUUUUAGAAAUACUGAUGCCUGGGCCCCAUUCCAGACCAGUUAAAUCAUACUAUCUGGGAGAGAUACCCAGAAAGUGGUAUGUUUUAACACCUCCUUAGGGAUUCUGCUGAUCAACCAAGGUUGAGAAGAAUCAAACUAGACUCAUUUUACAUAUGAAGAAAUGGAAACCCAGAUAUUGAGAUAAAAAAUGUUGCCCAAGUCACGUAGCUAGUGUCAAAACCUGACUCUUAAUAAAUGCCCUUAUGUCACACUAA
ensembl:lncRNA LRRC52-AS1 LRRC52 antisense RNA 1